GGCUUUAUAGUAUAAAAAUUACAUUGGAUUGCAAAUCUAAAGAUGUGUUGAAGGCACUGGGGCUU
rnacentral:tRNA from 1 species